GAUGAACGCUGGCGGCGUGCUUAACACAUGCAAGUCGAACGGAAAGGCCCAAGCUUGCUUGGGUACUCGAGUGGCGAACGGGUGAGUAACACGUGGGUGAUCUGCCCUGCACUUCGGGAUAAGCCUGGGAAACUGGGUCUAAUACCGGAUAGGACCACUUCUUGGAUGUUGUGGUGGAAAGGUUUUCGGUGUGGGAUGAGCUCGCGGCCUAUCAGCUUGUUGGUGGGGUAAUGGCCUACCAAGGCGUCGACGGGUAGCCGGCCUGAGAGGGUGUACGGCCACAUUGGGACUGAGAUACGGCCCAGACUCCUACGGGAGGCAGCAGUGGGGAAUAUUGCACAAUGGGCGCAAGCCUGAUGCAGCGACGCCGCGGGGGGGAUGACGGCCUUCGGGUUGUAAACUCCUUUCGCUAGGGACGAAGCUUAUUUUGUGACGGUACCUGGAGAAGAAGCACCGGCUAACUACGUG
rnacentral:rRNA from 1 species